UUAAGAUGAGAACUGAGAACUAAUCUCAGCCCUCAGAUCAAUUCAAUCAACGAUCAUAAUUUCACCCGACCAAAUACAAAAAAUAAGGGCAAAUUAGUAACUUUUCAGCUUCAAAUGACCUUCCUCUUCCCACGUCGAUUUUCAUAAUUCUUUCUCUCUCCUCCUUCGGUUUUCUCUUUCUUCCCGCAACUUCUCGCCAUUUUCGAUCUCUCUCCUCCGUUCUUUAUGUCUCUUCUGCCAAAAUUUGUACAUUCAAUACCUUCAUCGUUCUUGCAAAUUAGUAAUUUGGUUCUGAGUUCCAAGGGCAUGGGAGGAAACUCAAGUCUGUUACACCAAAAUCCUCGCAACAAAUUGGAUAAGCAGAAGGGCCACUCAAAAAGCAUGUUCUGAAGUUGAGUAUAGCGAAGGCCAGGCAAGCUUCUAGGACGAAAAACAUCAUUAAGGGUCCAAGCUUGACUAUUGCUAUUGUUUCGAUACUGACUGUUACCACCAGAAGAUUUUUAUUUCUGAAGUGUGUGUAUCGUUUUCUGCUGUCAAAGCAUAUGCCGCAGCUUCCCAAUCAUCAAAGCAUUUGUCAUCACCAAGAAUUGAACACAACUAAAAUCAACACAAACUCAUCACCAAGCUUCAUAGGUCUGCAUUGCUGGUGGUGGUUACUGAUAUCUAAAAUAGUAGUCUUUUUUCGGGGAUCCCAACUUGUAGGAUUAACAUCUCAAAUUUGGACUUUUUUCAAGCAUGUGUGAUAUUGUUUGCUAGUGUGGUCUGUUUGGUCUUGUCAGCAGGCUCUCAGUUCAGUUGUGGUUCGGUGCUGCUUGUUGUUUUGGGUUGGUUUGUUGUCCUCCACGGUCUCCCUAGCCUGAGCAUCACCAGCUUUCCUCAUGGCUGAUUCAUGUUCACUAGGGUUGUUCUAGAAGGCUUUUACCAUUUACUUCAGCUUUCCUUAUUGAUGACUUUAUUUUUGAAUAAAUUAUAUUUACUUUUAAGAGUUAUGUAUCUACUUUUGAAUUGAACAGAAGGAGCAAUGUGAGAUUGCCGUACUUGUGUACUCUAUGGUUACCUAACACUA